AAUGCAGUGCUAUACAAACUACGAAAAGAGGAUACAUCUCAACUUAUCUGAUGAGUACAACAAAUUUGAGUUAAGAUGAUUUGAAGAAGGCCAUGAAGCAAAACUAUCUGCUGGGUAUGAACAUGUAAAAGCUCCAGACUCCUUGAGUCUCGUAGAAGUGACGACGCAACUUCUUUCUUCUUAUAUGUCUAGAAAUGGAUCAAACACUGGACUAAGAAUCCGGAAAUCGUAUCGCAAAACGAAUCAAAACGAUGAAAGUUUUAGUCUCUUAUACAUCUGUGAUUAUUGAGCUAAU